UAAGUGGGAAACGAUGUGGGAAGGCCCAGACAGCCAGGAUGUUGGCUUAGAAGCAGCCAUCAUUUAAAGAAAGCGUAAUAGCUCACUGGUCGAGUCGGCCUGCGCGGAAGAUGUAACGGGGCUAAACCAUGCACCGAAGCUGCGGCAGCGAACGUAUCACUUAAAGCGAUUCAGCGGGUUACGAUUGACGGAGCGAAGCGACGUCAAAGCGUAUACAAAGUCGAGUCGGUUUAAGGAUACGUUCGUUGGGUAGGGGAGCGUUCUGUAAGCCUGUGAAGGUGUGUCGUGAGGCAUGCUGGAGGUAUCAGAAGUGCGAAUGCUGACAUAAGUAACGAUAAAGCGGGUGAAAAGCCCGCUCGCCGGAAGACCAAGGGUUCCUGUCCAACGUUAAUCGGGGCAGGGUGAGUCGACCCCUAAGGCGAGGCCGAAAGGCGUAGUCGAUGGGAAACGGGUUAAUAUUCCCGUACUUGGUGUUACUGCGAAGGGGGGACGGAGAAGGCUAUGUUGGCCGGGCGACGGUUGUCCCGGUUUAAGCGUGUAGGUGUGUGUUCCAGGUAAAUCCGGUUCACUUUAACACUGAGGCGUGACGACGAGGCACUACGGUGCUGAAGCAACAAAUGCCCUGCUUCCAGGAAAAGCCUCUAAGCAUCAGGUAACAUCAAAUCGUACCCCAAACCGACACAGGUGGUCAGGUAGAGAAUACCAAGGCGCUUGA
rnacentral:rRNA from 1 species